rnacentral:rRNA from 1 species
UACGGAGGAUGCAAGCGUUAUCCGGAUUCAUUGGGUUUAAAGGGUGCGUAGGCGGGAUAAUAAGUCAGUGGUGAAAGCCUACAGCUUAACUGUAGAAUUGCCAUUGAUACUGUUAUUCUUGAGUGCAGUUGAGGUAGCUGGAAUGUGUGGUGUAGCGGUGAAAUGCUUAGAUAUCACACAGAACACCGAUUGCGAAGGCAGGUUACUAAACUGCAACUGACGCUGAGGCACGAAAGCGUGGGGAGCAAACAGG